rnacentral:rRNA from 1 species
GACGAACGCUGGCGGCGUGCUUUACACAUGCAAGUCGAACGGUGAAGGUGGAGCUUGCUCCGCCGGAUCAGUGGCGAACGGGUGAGUAACACGUGGGCAACCUGCCCCUAACUUUGGGAUAACUACUCGAAAGAGUAGCUAAUACCGGAUAUGAAGUCUGUAGGCCUCUACGGACUUGGAACGUUUUUCGGUCAGGGAUGGGCCCGCGGCCUAUCAGCUUGUUGGUGGGGUAGUGGCUCACCAAGGCGACGACGGGUAGCCGGCAUGAGAGGGCGACCGGCCACACUGGGACUGAGACACGGCCCAGACUCCUACGGGAGGCAGCAGUGGGGAAUAUUGCGCAAUGGGCGAAAGCCUGACGCAGCAACGCCGCGUGCGGGAUGAAGGCCUUCGGGUUGUAAACCGCUUUCAGCAGGGAAGAAGCGAAAGUGACGGUACCUGCAGAAGAAGCACCGGCUAACUACGUGCCAGCCGCCGCCGUAA